ACAGUGAACAGAGAGAGAAGCCUAUGGGAUUAGUGACACCUGCCGUUUUGCUCCUGUCCUCUCAAACCACGUAUGUGUAUUGUGUGUGUAUGUCUCUCUUCUCUUUCUCGUGUUUGCGUACAGAAUUUUUUCAGAGAAUUAAGUACAUCUUUAAAUUUUGUUAUCUUUUCGAUUUGGGUCCACGAGUUUAUUCACGGGCCUAUACAAUCAAAUUAAUAUCUCGAAAUGUUUCUGCUUUUUACCAUCUUCGCUUUCAUGAAGUAAAGGUAAAAACGGAUAUUAAUUUGGGAUUUUGUAUGUAAAAAGAUGAGUUUAAUGUCGGCAUAAUUGGG